UACGUAGGGGGCUAGCGUUGUCCGGAUUUAUUGGCGUAAAGAGCGUGUAGGCGGCCAGAUAGGUCUGCUGUGAAAACUCGAGGCUCAACCUCGAGAUGUCGGCGGAAACCAUUUGGCUAGAGUCCGGAAGAGGAAAGUGGAAUUCCUGGUGUAGCGGUGAAAUGCGCAGAUAUCAGGAAGAACACCCGUGGCGAAGGCGGCUUUCUGGGACGGUACUGACGCUGGAGACGCGAAAGCGUGGGGAGCAAACAGG
rnacentral:rRNA from 1 species